CAGCAGCCACGGUAAUACGGAGGAUCCAAGCGUUAUCCGGAAUCAUUGGGUUUAAAGGGUCCGUAGGCGGUCUUGUAAGUCAGUGGUGAAAGCCCAUCGCUCAACGGUGGAACGGCCAUUAAUACUGCAGGACUUGAAUUAUUGGGAAGUAACUAGAAUAUGUAGUGUAGCGGUGAAAUGCUUAGAGAUUACAUGGAAUACCAAUUGCGAAGGCAGGUUACUACCAAUUGAUUGACGCUGAUGGACGAAAGCGUGGGUAGCGAACAGGAUUAGAUACCCCGGUAGUCCCUGUCUCUUAUAC
rnacentral:rRNA from 1 species